ACCUGUGAUUCCUCCAAGAAUCAUCCAGACCUUGGCUGAUGCUCCGAGUGUGGGGGCUCAUGGGAGGGCUUCCCUGACUGCCUCAUGGCCCCUGACCGGGAGGCUCAGGGCUGUGUUGGGGAGAAAGAACACCUGCACUGCAACAAAGUACAGCCUCUUGCUGCUGCCAGGAGCCCCGAGGCAGAGUAGGGAGAGGAGUAGGAAGGGAGAUGGUCACGGUGAUGUCGCAGUCCAAGAAGAGCCACCCCCACCUGGCGUAUCUUUUUUAAUGCUGGAGGCAGUUCUGCGCAGUCCACAUAAUUAACUCCAUUUUACAGAUGAAGAAACCAAUAUUCAAAGUGGUUAUGCAGCUUGUCCAAGAUUAUACAACUAAUUAGGAGUGGAGAGUGGGCUCAUUAGCCUCUCCAAUGAGCCAAAGUACCUGUGUACCUCUCUGGGGAUCCUGUUUCCUUAGGAAGCUGAGUGGACACAGACAGAGGCCACGUAACUGCUGAGAUCAAUGAGAUUCGGUCACCAAGGCAAGUGGAAGAGGCUGCGAUGUUUUAGUGAGUCCCAUCUCCAUCUUGAAGAAAGAGGAGGCAUCUGGCCCACGUGUCCCCGUUGAGGAUGGGGACCUUUGCAAAUCCAACACCAUUCACCUCUGAACGACUGUUGUCUUCUCUUGAAAGUCAUUGAGUUUCAGCUCCUCUAAAGGGCCCUGCAUGAUGCAAUCGUUUUAACUCGAGAGUGCUGCCCUCAG